rnacentral:tRNA from 1 species
UCCCCGGUGGUUCAGUGGUUAAGACUCUGCACUUCUAAUGCAGUGGGCAAGGAUUUGAUCCCUGGUUAGGGAA